rnacentral:rRNA from 1 species
UACGUAGGGUGCAAGCGUUAAUCGGAAUUACUGGGCGUAAAGGGCGCGUAGGCGGCCUGUUAAGUCGAACGUGAAAUCCCCGGGCUCAACCCGGGAACUGCGUCCGAUACUGGCAGGCUUGAAUCCGGGAGAGGGAUGCGGAAUUCCAGGUGUAGCGGUGAAAUGCGUAGAUAUCUGGAGGAACACCGGUGGCGAAGGCGGCAUCCUGGACCGGCAUUGACGCUGAGGCGCGAAAGCCAGGGGAGCAAACAGG